AGUCUACGAAACCCCACAGCUCCUAAGAAUUCUCUCACCUGCCUUCUGCCCUUAAGCUCCGGUAGAUUGCAAAUAACCUGCUUUCUUUCUGUUCCCGAGCUGCGUUCGGACCCAUGUCUUAUUGUAAAUCCCACGCAAGCUGCGUUCGGACCCGUCUGAUCGUAAAUCCCAUGUAAGGUACCUGCCGUCGGAAGAUUUGAACGUUCUACUUGGACACCUAAAACCCACAGUCCUCCAGAAAGACAACAGGUACAAAGCCCUAAGGAUUAUAAAGGUAUGCUGCUUACCAUCAUCUUAGUGACCAAGGCAGCGAAGCUGUUUCUGUACCUUGGAACAGUCUUCCCUGACAAGCCAGAGAACAGUGAUAAAGCCACCAGCCUUGGGAUCAGGACUGAAAAGGCAAGAGUGAUGGAGAUUUCUCCUGCGCUAAGCCAAGAGAAGGUUUCAGCACUUCAGACAGCUCCCACCGAAGUAGCCGCGCUCCCAGCUGCUUGCAGAUGUUGAAAAGGAAAGCCUCGGUUUGUCUUGAGGUUGUCAGCAGGUGCAAGACACGUAAUAAAAUGCAAUGUGUUCCUAAUUCAUUGCAUAUCCUCAGCUUUAAAUUUGGGUAGCAAAAUGAUUACUCUAGAUUCUUCAGUCUUGGCAAGUAUCUGUACCUAAAAAGCAGUUUUUCUACCUAAUGUCUUUUUUUGUUUUUGUUUUUCAAUACACCUUAAGCAAAUUGAA
rnacentral:lncRNA from 1 species